rnacentral:rRNA from 1 species
GAUGAACGCUGGCGGCGUGCCUAAUACAUGCAAGUAGAACGCUGAAGGAGGAGCUUGCUUCUCUGGAUGAGUUGCGAACGGGUGAGUAACGCGUAGGUAACCUGCCUGGUAGCGGGGGAUAACUAUUGGAAACGAUAGCUAAUACCGCAUAAGAGCAGUUGUUGCAUGACAGCUGUUUAAAAGGUGCAAUUGCACCACUACCAGAUGGACCUGCGUUGUAUUAGCUAGUUGGUGAGGUAACGGCUCACCAAGGCGACGAUACAUAGCCGACCUGAGAGGGUGAUCGGCCACACUGGGACUGAGACACGGCCCAGACUCCUACGGGAGGCAGCAGUAGGGAAUCUUCGGCAAUGGGGGCAACCCUGACCGAGCAACGCCGCGUGAGUGAAGAAGGUUUUCGGAUCGUAAAGCUCUGUUGUAAGAGAAGAACGAGUGUGAGAGUGGAAAGUUCACACUGUGA